GAUGAAGAACGCAGCGAAAUGCGAUAAGUAAUGUGAAUUGCAGAAUUCAGUGAAUCAUCGAAUCUUUGAACGCACAUUGCGCCCGCCAGUAUUCUGGCGGGCAUGCCUGUUCGAGCGUCAUUUCAACCCUCAGGCCCCGCCUGGCGUUGGGGAUCGGCGCGGCCCUCUCCGGGCUGCCGGCCCCGAAAACUAGUGGCGGUCUCGCUGUAGUCCUCCUCUGCGCAGUAGCAACGCUCGCACUGGAACUCGGCGCGGCCACGCCGUAAAACACCCCACUUCUGAAAGUUGACCUCGGAUCAGGUAGGAAUACCCGCUGAACUUAAGCAUAUCAAUAGCGGAGGA
rnacentral:misc_RNA from 1 species